UAGAAGAAUACAUCCGUUGGUGUCAAACGGUCUGUGGUUGUUGUGCUUAACAUUUUAACGUUAGCGGUUGAUAGCUAAUUAACUAUCAAACACAAGAUGUGGCAGCCUGAUCCUUACCAUAAUGAGUUGGUCUUUGUUAUGGAUGAAUUAAUGACGUCGUUGGAGGAUGAAAUUGAGAAAUGUAUGGCGGUCUUAGUCUUUUCCACACAAGACAGGACAGACAUUGAUGCAGGGGAGACGGGGGAAUUUGAAAGAGAAUCCAGGUUGGAGGUUAAAGUCCAGUUGACAUGUGUGAUGAAACAGUUUGUGAAACAGACUCUCACCAAAAUCAACCAGUUGAUCUCUAAAGGCACUGAAGCACUGCGUUCAGAGAUAUGCCAGAGUCAAAGUGAGAUUAAAUCUCUGAAAAUGAAGCUUUUGGAGAUGACUGUUGGUAAGGAAGUACCUGAAAAUACAGUGGAAAGAACCCCACAGACGGAGGAAGAGGAGGAAUGUACGGAAGCACCAUUACCACCAGAGUUUGCAGAGGAUUUUCAGGUUGUCUUGCCAACUCCCAGUGGUGAGGCUGACAACACUACAAAUGUCAAGAAGGAGACCACGAUCAGAGCUAAAACCAUAGCGUUGGAACAGUCAUUUACAUCUCUAGCUAAAAUACCUUCCUCCUCACUCAUUGAGUCUAUCAAACAGGUGGCUAUUACAGACAAACAGGCAGCAAGCAGGCCUACAGACAAACAGUCAGCGAGCAGGCCUGCAGCAAGCACGCCUACAGACAAAAAUCCAGCAAGCAGGUCUACAGACAAUCAGGCCCCAAGUACAGACCCCCAAACUCCAGGUGGGGACUAUGUGGUGUCCACCAGACCCAGGAGGAAGAAGAAGAGAAUAGAAGCACAACCCACAGCGGCAGAAUCAGACAGAAGUGAGGAAAACGCUGAUGACCAAUGGGAGGAGAAUGCUAAAGCUGGACAAACCUCGAAUGACAAAUAUGUUCACAACAUAAAGCCAAGGCCCAACAUAAAGAAAAACCAGACUACCACCACCAGGAAAGAGCACCACUGUCUGGACUGCGGUAAGGUUUUUAAGAAUUCAAGUAAUUUAAAACUGCAUCAACAGACUCACACAGGAGAGAGACCAUAUUGUUGUGAAUUAUGCGGGAAAUGUUUCCCGACUGCUUGGAAGCUCAGAAUACACCAAGCAGUGGUCCACAGAAGAGAGAAACCACUUGAGUGUCCAACAUGUGGGAAGUGCUUUGCAACAAAGCAUUAUUUGGACACUCACGCAAGCGUUCAUUCAACAGAGAAACCGUUCCGAUGCCUCGUGUGUCAAAAGUGUUUUAAAAGUAAAAGUGGUCUCAAGGAACACACAAUGUUGCACAAUUCAAAUUCAGAUUCAUAUGCGUGUGACAAAUGUCCAAAAACCUUUGUUAAGUUGAAAUACCUCAAGAAUCACCAGCUAACUCACAGUGGAGGAGGAGCUCACCGUUGUGAAUUGUGUGGGAAAGGUUUCAAGACUCCUUCUGAGCUCAAACGGCACCAAGCAUCAGUCCAUAGGGGAGAGAAGCCAUUCCAAUGUCCCACAUGUGGGAAGUGUUUCGCAGAGAAUAAAAAUUUGAAAAUCCACGCAAGUGUUCAUUCAGAAGAGAGAGCAUUCCAGUGCCCUCAAUGUCAGAUGUGUUUCAAAACCAAGUAUACUCUUAACGACCAUAAGAAGACGCACACGGAUUCCAAGCCAUAUUCUUGCGACAAAUGCCCCAUGACCUUUAUCCGAUCUUAUUAUCUCAAGAUUCAUCAAGCUUCGCACCUGACCAGCAAGCCAUUCGUGUGCAGCCACUGUGGGAAAGGCUUCAAAGGUGAACGUGGGCUCAAGAGACAUGAACGCACCCACACCGAAGACCCAACUUAUACCUGUGACGAAUGUGGCAAGGGUUUCUAUCAACACGAAUCAUAUAAAGUCCAUGCGGCCUUGCACACCGGAGAGAAGCCGUUCACCUGCGAUCACUGUGAAAAAACCUUUGCUCUGGCGUCCUACCUUAAAACCCACAUAGUGAAACUUCACUCUGUCACCGAACCCCACGUCUGUGGGAAAUGUGGCAAGAAAUAUAAGGAUUUCACCCAUUUUAGAAUCCAUAUGUUUCAGGGUUGUCAAGAGGCUGCAGCGUUGGUUUGACUAUAACAAGAAUUGCCUAUCAUUGGAAAUGACCAUUUCUCUUCUUUCUAAUGUUGGAAGCGAUCAACAUAUAUAUUGGAAAUAUAUGGUACAUGGAAAUCAAGAUAUGGAGGGAGGUGGGAUGGGCUGAGAGUAACUGAGGGGUGGGAUUAGAAACUCAAUCUGUGUAAUAGUUAGGACUGAAAACACCAUAUCAUGCAUACCGGAAAUGCCUGAGUACCAUGUGUAUAUCGAACUAUUUCUGACAUGUAAUACCUUGUAUAAAAAAUAAUAUGUAUGAAUAAUGUGCAUGUAACAAAAAUGGAAAACAAAGUUACUUUUUUCAUACAGGGGAUAGAUUGGCCAGUAAUAAAAAUAAUAGUAAAUAAAAAAAUUGGAGGAGACCUACAACACCCCCUUAAAUCCUAAAUGACCCCCCCCCCUGGUUGGAUGCAGGUUACAGGCACAACCUGUAACAUUCAUUCUGACAAUGCUGUCAUUCAUUGUUAUUUUGGAAUUGUGAAUAAAGUGGUAAUAUGUU